UGCUUAUGUAGUAGAAGAAUAAAAAACAGAAUGCAGUUUUGCCUUUUUUCUGGUUUUUAGAGUUGAUUUUUAAUCCCUUUUGAAUGCAUUUUUUUUGUAUACACUAAAAUUUACAGUGCUCAGUGAUACCUCAGAAGAUGAGCAGAACUUGAAUGUGAAGAUACUGAUUUUGCUGAAUCUGUUUGAAAAAUAUAUUUCAGAAGCAAAGAAAUACCAUUGAACAAGACAUUGGUGUAAAGUACAGUAAAGUACUGUCCUCUGAAGUCUGCUCUGAAGUUGACAGUUCACUGAGUGAUUUGUUCAAGAGUCUACAAAAUGCUUUGGAUCUCUAGAGUAGCAUCCAAGCUGUCCAAUAUUAGGUCUUUCAACAGGUUUUUGAUUCACAAGAUGACAGUGCAGUAAUUGGAAGGCUCAAAGGAGCAGUGGAAGCCCUGCAUGCGCUGCCCUCAGCCGAGAGGGGAAUGCAAAGAUGACUGCGAGGCAUGAAAGGAAGUUUGCCUACACAAGAGCCUUCUCCCAGUGUAAAUACAUGCUUGAUAGUGCAUCAAAGAUGAGAUCUUUGUAAUUCCUACAGUAUAUUUAAUGUAUAAUUUAUAGGAAAAGGACGCUUGAUUUGUAGUUGUAAAGUUUUGUAUACUUUUCAGUCUGUUUGUUUUUAUAUUUCCCCCCUAAGGCUAAGAAUAUCUCCACAAUGGACAACGCCUUGUAAAUAAUUAAUACCUACAUGAUUGAACGACGUGCUUUAUUUGCAUUUUUAAGAUUUUUUCCUACAUAAAACAGUAAUAAAAAUGCAAGUCAAAAUUUUAAUUUUUAAUAAAAAAACCAUAAGCCUUAGAAAACUGAUUAAAAAUACUUUUAUGUUAUCCCUAAUCACCCCGUUAAAUGGAAUGCCUGUGAUUAGCCUCAUUAAGAAUUUUAUACUGUGAAGAUUUUAUUAAAAGCAAUAUAUGAAAAUUACUUGGAUUAAUGUGUUAAUCUGCCUCUUUAAAAUGCUAAUAUCCAUUUUAUGCACAUUAAAUCUCAGUAUGUGUUUUCUUUGAUGCAUGCAGUUCCUAUCAAUUAAAUAUAAAAAAUUAGGCUAGUUGCAGGACUUAUUAAAUUACUGCACCCUUUUUUUAAAUAACUUUUACCCUUCUACUAACAUUAUAAUCAGCUGUUUAUGGUUACCAUAAUUUGAAGUAGGGGGAGGGCAGGCACAAUCAUUUUCUGUGCAGGAGAUGAUUUGCUUGCAGCCAACAUCUGUCAAAGCACAAAAAGAAGCCAUAGACUGUCGGAUUUUGCUUCACCUACUUUGGGCUUUAGGGAUGGGCAACUGUUUUCAUUUGGGUUUUGUCACUUUUAGAACUUACAUCAAACAUAUACAAUAAAUUGUUGUAUCU